GGAGGCAAAGGGAAAAGGCCAGACUCUUCUCAGCAGUGUGUGGUGAUAGAACAAGAGGAAAUGGCCACAAACUGAAGCAUGGGAAGUUCUGCACCAAUAUGCGAAGGAACUUCUUCACUGUUGAGGGUGACGGAGCACUGAAACAGUCUGCCCAGUGGGGGUGUGGAGUCUCCUUCUCUGGAGAUGUUCAAGACCCGCCUGGAUGCCCAUCUGUGCAGCCUGCUGUAGGGAGCCUGCUUUGCAGGAGGGUUGGACUCCAUGAUCUCUGGAGGUCCCUUCAAGCUCCUACAAUUCUGUGAUUCUGGGAUUCUGUGAAAUGGGAAGAGCUGAUCAUAAAGGAAAAGAAAACGCCUCAAGAAACCUAACGACAGCCCUGCGAGUAAAGCCAGAAUAUACAGAUUUUUCAGGAACAGUAUUUGCUCUAAAAGGGAUGAGAGGAUUCAGAGUACACCACUGAUUUGGAAAAUGCUCAGCAGUACAGAACAGGUCAUAAACUUACAGGCAAUGCAAAACCUGCCAAACCUGCAAUGUUUUCUGCAGGCAAAGAAAUUUUCUGCUGAAGCAAGUAACGUUCAUUCUGAAAAAAAAAAAAAAAAAAGAGAGAGAGAGAGAGAGAGAGAGUGACUGGUGCUUUACUCAGCUACGAACUUCCUGAGUCAGAAGAAUAUUACCUGGAAUUAGUAUGCUGGGUUUUUUCACCUUACCUGUCUACCGUGAAAUUUUUGAAGUAUCAUGUGCUAAACAAUCCAGGACACAAAACCCUAAAUAAGAAUGUUGUUUUUCUUGUGUGUCAGUUUCUAAAUGCCUUCAUCCUUUUCUUCGCAUGUGGACUGCCCUCUGACCUCAAUCCUGAUGGCCUAAUGGUGAAUCAUUAUUCUUUGAUUAUGGCUUUGUAAUUAUAGGGAAUGACAUAAGCUCAUUGUGAUCCAGACUUGGAAAUUAUUUCAAAGGGGUUUUAUUCUUUUUACUUAUUCUUUUUAUAGCUGCACUGAUCCAUUUUUUGACUGUAUUGAGGCACUCCAAGGCUCACAUUGCUGUGCCAUUAUAACACUUCUCAAGUGCCUGACACUGCACUGCCUCUUGGAAAAAUAUGUUUUGUGCAGACCCAAAAAGUAUUGCUGGGUUUCUCUCUCUGUAAAUCCCACAAAUUUUCCAGAGUGCCUUUCAGAGUGGGAAUAUCAUUCCCACUUUGAAUUCCAUUCGUUUUCAAUACAGAAUAAUAUUUUUUCCUAAAGUUUGGUCCAGGAAAGAAAUAGAAGUGAUCUACUUCUUAACAAUCUGCUCUUUAAUGAGAAAUCUAAGCACACUAUUGCCACUUAUAUGAGAUCAUUUUACACAGCUCUGCUAUGUAGUAUGUUUUAGGGUGUUUUUUCUCCAUCAGUGACAGAUGAAGAGCAGCAGUAAAUUUUUCUGACUUGGCUUAACUGAGAGGAUUCAGAGUCUUAAAAUUAAACAGAUUGUGAAAGUAGGAGGAGAAAAAUAGGAGGGAGAGGAACAAAAAUGAAAACCUACACCUAAAUGCAUAUAGUGUAGUAAACUUGGAUAACGUGUUUGAGACAAAGUUCUCACUGACACAAAAAUAUACACAAGAUCAUAUCCUAGUAUCGUUUCACCUUGUACCAGGGAAUUGUUGCAGCUUUUGUGUUGGUUUGCAUUUUAGAAAUUUGAAAAUCUUGGGAAGGUCUCUGCAUGCUUUCAGAAACAUAUGUAUUCCUGUAGAUUUUAUUUUUUUAACGUUCUGACUUCACAGUACCUAACGUUGGCAAGAGCAGAAAUACUUCAAGUGCAAGGACACAUGGAAAAACAACAAAGAAAACAAAUCCUAGGUAACAGUCAAACAAAGCUAUUGAUUAGAUAAACAUCAGCAAACCCAAAAGCUUCCUGCUGUGUGUGUGUGGCAUAGCUCCCUAUCCCUACCACUGUGACAAGACAGAAGCACAUAAAGGCACAAUUUAUGGCUCACUUUCCAGAUUUGGAUUUGGUAGAUUUUCCUACAUCACGCGGGCUCUCCUACCAGCCAAGGAAUGAGCAUGACUUCAUCCCAAACCCAUCCUCAAAAUUCCCGAGUCAUCCCGCUGGGUGGGUGCAGGGUAGCUCCAAGCUGUUCCUCUCUCAGGUGGCAGCAAGCUGCCAUAAAAUUCUCCGAGAGGCUGGCAAGAUAUCAUUUUCUAAAGGAGGAGUGUUUGUCUACUGACUGCAACAUAAUUUUUGAAUCAGUUCUAAAAAUAUUAACGUUUUUUGUUUGAAAAGCAAUUGUAAUUUUCCUGUCACAACAUUCCGCAAAAAGCGGGACCCUCCAAACUCAAUGGGGAAAAUAUGGGUUUCUGAAGAAUCUGGACUGGUUCCUAAGCUCCUGUUAACAUUUUUUCCCAGAGACAUCUGCUUCUAUUUGCGUAUUUCUUCAGAUACUAAAGAUAAAAUUAGAAUGUGGAGAUUUUAGUGUUAAAAUCUUAAGCGCAGACGUGAUGCAACUGCCACAGAUCUUUUAAUGGUCAUGCUUCAGAGAGAGACUUUUGGAGUAACUGAAAGAGAUCAGUUCCUGCUGUGAGCAAAAUUUUGACGUUUUGAAUUUUCAAUAAAUCAGAAAAGACUGCCAGCUACAGAAUUAUGCUGCUAAGUUUCUUAGCAGAUCUCCUGCAGUUGUCACAGCAAUUAUUCUCAAGGUGCUUUCCAAACAUGCCACUUUAGGAAUCUGUUUAUGUGGAUUAAUUUCUGGGAAGUUCUUGCAUAAAUUCCAGGUACAAACAGUAAAAACUGUUAAAAAAAAAAAAAAAAAAAAGUCCUAAAAUGUGCUGAGGUAAGCACUUUACUGGCUUUUUGUAUUUCCACCAAAAAAAAAAGGAAAGAAAACCAGCAAGUGGAUCACAAAUUAUUGCACCAUAUAGUUCACUAUUCCAGUACCUGCUCAAACCUCGCAUGUGAUCUUAAAAUGUUACAUAAAACCACACUUUCUGAAGUCAUGGUGCAUCAGUUUGCAAUUCUAGUUGAGCAUGGAAACCACUAUGGGGCAUGCAAACUACACUUUUAUUGCCAUUCCUGAAACAUGGUGGGAUCACUCCCACAGCUGGAGUGCUGCAAUGGAUGGCUGUAAGCUCUUCAGAAGGGAUAGGCAAGGAAGGAGGGGCGGUGGCUUGGCUCUGUGUUUAGAGAAUGUUUUGAUGUUGUUGAGCUCAGGACUGGUAAUGGUAAGGCUGAGUCUCAGUGUGUAAGGAUCAAAGGGAGGACCAACAAGGCUCACAUCCUGGUGGAAGUCUGUUGUAGACUGCCUAACCAGGAAGAAGAGAUGGAUAAGGCAUUCUACAAGUAUCUGGCAGUAGUUGCAUGAUCAGCAGCCCUUGUUGUCCUGGAGGACUUCAACUUCCCUGAUAAAAACUGGAAAUAUAAGACAGCACAGAGAAAGUCUAGGAGGUGUUUACUGUGUGUGGAAGAUAACUUCCUGAUGCAGUUGGUAAGAGAGCAUACCAGAGGAGGUGCCCCACUAGACCUGCUGCUCGCAGAGGACUGCUUGGAGAUGAGGAGGUCAGGAGAUGUCUUGGGCAAAGUGAGCACAAAAUGGUAGAGUUCUCAAUUCUUGGUGAAGUCAUGAGGGCAGUUAGGAAAACUGCUGCCUUGGACUUCCAGGUGGAGGACUUUGAACUGCUCAGGACACUGGUAGGAAAGGUCCCUUGGGAGUCAGUACUGAAGGGUGAAGGACUGCAGGAAGGCUGGGUGCUCCUCAAGAGGGAAAUCUUAGAGACAGAGAUGCAGGCUAUCUCCUUGUGCCAUAAGAUAAGCCAGAAGGGAAGACCAGUGUGGAUGAAGAGGGAAUUUUUACUGAGACACCAGAAGAAAAAGAGUCUACCUCCUGUGGAAGAAGGAAUGGGCAACUCAGAGAGUACAAAGAAGAUGUUAGGAUAGGCAUGGAGAAAAUUAGAAAGGCAAAAGCCCAGCCUAAACUCAACCUGGCCUCCAUGGUAAAAGACAACGAAAAUUUUUUUUUUACAAAUGUUUUAACAGUAAGAGGAAAGCUUAGGAGAAUCUCAUUCUCCCGUUAUAUUUCAUUUCCACCUUUUUGAAAUAUUCAAAGGUUUUAAAGGCAAGUGCAAAUUUCCAAAUUCCUAGGCCAGGUCUAAGGCUGCUCAAAAACGACGAAGUUUUGAACUUGGGAUAACUGAUCUCUGGGACCAUCAAGCUGAAGACAAGAGAACCUGGAGAAGAAGCAGCAUGACCAUAUGAAAAAUUCCAAAACAUGGCAUGAAAUAAGUCAAUUUCAGGUGUUCUAAUAAAUCUGUUUUCCAUCAGAGCUCCAUCAGUUUCAGAAUUUCCACACAUUCCCACAAUUUUUUUUCAAUUUAUUCCAGUGGAAUAAAGAAGUUUGCCAACAUAUUCCUUGUAUGAAAAAUGCACUAAAAAAAAAAAAUCUUACUAUUUUUCCUUUAUUCUCACAGUGUGUGACCCAAAGACCAAGUUACAUGCAUUAAUGAAAGAUUAGGAAGAAGGAGAAUAAAGUAGACAAUCAGGAGAUUGAAAACCUGUCCUUGAAUGAGAACAUAGCCCGCAGUCACUACAUCUCCUGAAUAUAAGACAAGAUUUGCAGACCAUCUUAAAGUUUGUAGUAUAGCACAUGCUAAAUAUAGUCAAGCUAUGUAGAAGAGGAGCAGUGAGGUUCUUUGGCACUUUUUCAGGAGCUGUGCAGAGGAAAAGCUAGUUACUUUCAGUUCAGCGUAGUGUGACUCAUUUAUGGCUGAAAGAUCCACUAAAUGCAGAGAAAAGCCUGCAGAAACCUGUAAGGAUUGAAAAUGUUACUGGAAGCAUCAAAGUGUCUGCCUUUCAUGAGAGAUUUCUGAAAAGAUAAAGAGAGUGACCAAAUCUUCUCCUCAAGCACUUACUCUGGUUUUCAAGGUUGAAUCUUGUCUUAGAGGAAUGCAUAUAAAUUGACUGUGGUUCUGCUAAGCACAGAAAUGGUGUUUUGCCAGUAAAAUAGUGAAGGUGGAGGCAAAGUCACAGGUGAAUGAUGUGAACUGGGUUGCAUUUACAAUAAUAGCUACGAGGCAAAAAAGGCUCCCCUU
ensembl:lncRNA